rnacentral:rRNA from 1 species
AUUGAACGCUGGCGGCAGGCCUAACACAUGCAAGUCGAGCGGAGCGGCGGACGGGUGCGUAAUGCCUAGGUAUCUGCCUGGUCGUGGGGGCUAACGUUCGGAAACGGGCGCUAAUACCGCAUACUAUCAGAUGAGCCUAGGUCGGAUUAGCUAGUUGUUGGGGUAAAGGCCUACCAAGGCGACGACCCGUAGCUGUUCUGAGAGGAUGAUCAGUCACACUGGAACUGAGACACGGUCCAGACGCCUACGGGAGGCAGCAGUGGGGAAUAGUGGACAAUGGGCGAAAGCCUGAUCCAGCCAUGCCGCGUGUGUGAAGAAGGUCUUCGGAGUGUAAAGCACUUUAAGUUGGGAGGCGUUACCAGCAGAAUAAGCACCGGCUAACUUCGUGCCAGCAGCCGCGGUAAUAC